rnacentral:piRNA from 1 species
GAAGCAGAGUCCUCAGGGAAAAUGGAAAA